rnacentral:rRNA from 1 species
AGUAACGCGUGAGCAACCUGCCUAUGACAGUGGGAUAGCCUCGGGAAACCGGGAUUAAUACCGCAUAAAAUAGUAGAAACACAUGUUUUAGCGGUCAAAGAUUUAUCGGUCAUAGAUGGGCUCGCGUCUGAUUAGCUAGUUGGUGAGAUAACAGCCCACCAAGGCGACGAUCAGUAGCCGGUCUGAGAGGAUGAACGGCCACAUUGGAACUGAGACACGGUCCAA